AGAGGUUGCAAGCGUUAAUCGGAUUUACUGGGCGUAAAGCGUGUGUAGGUGGUUAUACAAGUCGGUUGUGAAAUCCCCGGGCUCAACCUGGGAACUGCUUCCGAGACUGCAUGACUAGAGAUCGGUAGAGGGCGGUGGAAUUUCCGGUGUAGCGGUGAAAUGCGUAGAUAUCGGAAGGAACACCAAUGGCGAAGGCAGCCGCCUGGGCCUGAUCUGACACUGAGACACGAAAGCGUGGGGAUCAAACAGGAUUAGAUACCCUGGUAGUCCACGCCGUAAACGAUGGGUACUUGACGUCGGUACGCUCUGCGUAUCGGUGUCGCAGCUAACGCGAUAAGUACCCCGCCUGGGGAGUACGGCCGCAAGGUUG
rnacentral:rRNA from 1 species